rnacentral:pre_miRNA from 1 species
UCUUUGGUGGCCUAGCUUUGAUGAUUUAUUUGCUCAUAAAGCUAGACAACCAUUGCA